UUCAUGCUAUGCCUCGGUUACUUCAAUAGGAGUUGUUCCAUGGUUGGUUUCAGAUCUGACAGCAAAGAGACGUUGCAAUGGAUGAGUUUGGUUGUGGCAGCGGAAGAAGGUGAUUUAUAAUGGUUAAAUGGAAGGGAUGAGGCUUUGUAUGGUGUGGCUACAACUCAGACGGCCCUCACACAUGGAAGGAAGUUGUAGGGAGGAAACAAAGCACCGAAGGACUCUUGGAAAGGAGAAUGACAAUGCAUUUGAGCAUAGUUUUCUUACUAUCAUCCAAAAGUNUUCAUACAAGCUAGGCUAAGAGAAUUUAUAGUUGAUUCUCUCGGCCUCCACCAAAGGAAAACUCAGAUCCAUUAUUUCAUCAUGUGUAAAAUAUGCUAUGCUUCUAGAAAGCUUUCUAAAGCACGUGAAAAAAUGAGUUUUACAUGUGGGGAAAUUCAAUUACUAAUGCUGCCCCAUGGAAAGCUAAGCACACCCCCCCUAUGUGUAGAAAUGGCCUUUUUACCCUUCUCCAUGUCUUGGUAGAUUUGCAACAUCUUCUUGUUCCCCAAUUUUCCAUCCAAAAAUAGCAAAUAGUAUUUGACCUUGGGGAGAAUACUCAUCUUGGAUCUUUUUGGCCAUCCCUCUUGUUAUGGGUCCUAUGGUGCUAGGCCUUCUUGUAUCAAUUGUUUUGCAGCAUUUUUUGAUGAAACUGAAGAAUGGGAUUGAAGAUGGAAGGUAUUAGACUCAAGAAAGAAGAAGAAACAUGAAGAAAAGAAGACUCUAGAAACUGCCCAGCGCCAAAAAUCACCGCUGGGCGGCCA
rnacentral:lncRNA from 1 species